AUCCCUGUAGCGCAAUGGGUAUCGCGUUGGACUUCUAAUUCAAAAUCGUAGCUUCGAAUCCCACCUGGGAUG